GCUAGUGCAGUGGGAUUUCCAGUGACACUAGAACAAUAGAAAAGUCACUCUUCUUAUGAAAGAGAUAGAAAAGGUCUAAAAACAGGAGAGACAAUUUACGCAUAAAACCCGAUAUGCAUAGGGAUGAAUAUCUCUUAAAACACAAAACCAUUAUAUAACUUUUAUACAACCACUAUAAAUAAAGUAUAUGUUAAAGCUAAAUGUGUUAAUAUAUGAUUUUUUAAUUGCCAAACAUGCUGUUAAUUGAACAACCUAUUGUUCAACAUAGGGGUGUGUAAAAAACUGCCAGAUUUGACUGCAUAUUUUUCUUUUUUUUUGAAAAAAAUAUAUAUCAAACCUUAAUAAUGUAGCUUUCUGGGUAUCCAAUUUUUAACGUGUUCCGAAAUGUAGUUUCGUCACAAGAAUUUUUCAAAGUUGUGUCAUUUUGUCUAUAUGAAUGUCGGUAAAUUCGUAUGAUCGAGCACACCGACAAGUAUAUCGUUGGGACAACUCGAUAUAAUGUAAUCAAUAUACGUGAAAGAUUACCUAAUGUGAAGUUUAUCAAAAUCAU
rnacentral:lncRNA from 1 species